CCAAGACACUGGAGCAGCUGCCACUGAGAAUCGGGUUGUAUACGGAGGAUCUAGUCAUCGCUCUUUUCAUUGGGGGGAAAAAAAGGUGCAACCUUGGAUUGUGAUGCAGUGAGGAGAAAGAAGAGAGAAAGCAACAGACAUGAAGGGAGGAGAG